rnacentral:rRNA from 3 species
GGGUUCAUGAUGUAUGACACUCUAGAGAUAGAGCUUUCCCUUCGGGGACAAAGUGACAGGUGGUGCAUGGUUGUCGUCAGCUCGUGUCGUGAGAUGUUGGGUUAAGUCCCGCAACGAGCGCAACCCUUAUUACUAGUUGCCAGCAUUAAGUUGGGCACUCUAGUGAGACUGCCGGUGACAAACCGGAGGAAGGUGGGGACGACGUCAAAUCAUCAUGCCCCUUAUGACCUGGGCUACACACGUGCUACAAUGGAUGGUACAACGAGUUGCGAGACCGCGAGGUUUAGCUAAUCUCUUAAAACCAUUCUCAGUUCGGAUUGUAGGCUGCAACUCGCCUACAUGAAGCCGGAAUCGCUAGUAAUCGCGGAUCAGCAUGCCGCGGUGAAUACGUUCCCGGGUCUUGUACACACCGA